AUUGAACGCUGGCGGCAGGCCUAACACAUGCAAGUCGAACGAGUGGCGGACGUGUGAGUCAUAUCUGGGAAACUGCCUGAUGGAGGGGGAUAACUACUGGAAACGGUAGCUAAUACCGCAUACCAUCAGAUGUACCCAGAUGGGAUUAGCUAGUUGGUUGGGUAACAGCUCACCAAGGCGACGAUCCCUAGCUGGUCUGAGAGGAUGACCCGCCACACUGGAACUGAGACACGGGCGAGAAUCCUACGGGCGGCAGCAGUGGGGAAUAUUGCACAAGGGGCGCAAGCCUGAUGCAGCCAUGCCGCGUGUAUGAAGAGGGUCUUCGGGUUGUAAAGUACUUUCAGUGGGGAGGCGUUACCCGCAGAAGAAGCACCGGCUAACUCCGUGCCAGCAGCCGCGGUAAUAC
rnacentral:rRNA from 1 species